CUGAUCACCUUUCCACAUGAAGGGAAGCGAGGGCAGGCGCUCAAGGCGGGAACUCGGAGGCAGAAACUAAAGCAGAAACCAACUGGCUUACUCCUCCUGGAUUGCUCAGUUGGCUUCCUUUUUUUUUCUUCUUCACUUCAGGACCACCUGCUUCAGGGAGGCACUGCCCACAAUGGCAGGGCCCUUCCACAUGAAUCAUCAAUCCUGAAAAUACUCCACAGACUUGCCUAUAGGUCAAUCGGAUGGGGGCAUUGUCUAGCUCAAGUUCUCUUGUCUUAGAUGACUUUAGCUUAUGCCACAUUGACAAAACUGUAGCCAACACAAUACCCAACAUGAGUCAACACGAGCACCUGAAAGUGGAACAGAUACAUUCCUUGUAAAGCUGAAGUGGAGCAGCCAAAGCACAUAGCACCAGGAUGAGUGAGCUUUUAUUUGCAAAAAUCUCAAUAUUGAAGAGAAUUGAAGAGACAUUUUAAAAAGUUUUAAAAAGUCAGCAGAAAUAUACUGUAGACCUAAAUAUAAGCAAGAUACAAAGUUAAGCAACUCCUCCGAUAUAACCUAGAAGAUAUACUAGAUAUACCUGAACAUGGCAAAACACCAAAGAUAUAACUGAUGAAAGAAUUUGUAACUGGAUUUUCUAAAAUUAAAAAUGUUGCCACACUAAAGACAAAACCAAGAGAAUGAGAAGAUGAGAACAUGUUUGUAGAAGACAUAUUUGAUAAAAAGACUUUUAUUCAAAUAUAUGAACAACUGUUAAAACUCAAGGAAGAGAAUGAAUAAACUGAUUUUAAAAUGAACAAAAGUCCUAAGUACAUAUUUC